rnacentral:lncRNA from 1 species
AAAAUCUAAAACCAGUUAUUUUCCUCUUCAUCCAAAGACCAUGCUUGCAACUGUGUGCUAUGCUGAAGUUGUGUGAACAUUCUUAGACAUAGGUUGCUUGGACAAUCCUUCAGAAUCCAUAUUUCUACUGACUUUUGUUUUUGCCCUGCAUUUGUUAGAUAAAACCAAUUGCAACAAGAUAUUCAUACAAUGUUACUCACCUACCGCCACUGCCCU